rnacentral:rRNA from 1 species
GGGUCAGUAGGUUGGUCGUGCCACCGGUACGUACUGGUCUCACUGAUUCCUCCUUCCUGAAGAACCGUAAUGCCAUUAAUUUGGUGUUGCCGGGAAACAGGACUGUUACUUUGAAAAAAUUAGAGUGUUUAAAGCAAGCUAACGCUUGAAUACAUUAGCAUGGAAUAAUGAAAUAGGACGAUCGAUCCUAUUUUGUUGGUUUCUAGGAUUGACGUA